rnacentral:rRNA from 1 species
UUGGAGGGCAAGUCUGGUGCCAGCAGCCGCGGUAAUUCCAGCUCCAAUAGCGUAUAUUAAAGUUGUUGCAGUUAAAAAGCUCGUAGUUGAAUUUCGGGAUCAGUACGUUGGUCGUGCCUUAGGUACGUACUGGUGUUACUGGUUCCUACCUUCUGACGAACCAUCAUGUCAUUAAUUUGGUGUGGCGGGGAAUCAGGACUGUUACUUUGAAAAAAUUAGAGUGUUUAAAGCAGGCUCGCGCUUGAAUACAUUAGCAUGGAAUAAUGAAAUAGGACGUUGAACCUAUUUUGUUGGUUUCUAGGAUUGACGUAAUGAUUAAUAGGGAUAGUUGGGGGCAUUAGUAUUCAAUUGUCAGAGGUGAAAUUCUUGGAUUUAUUGAAGACUAACUACUGCGAAAGCAUUUGCCAAGGAUGUUUUCAUUAAUCAAGAACGAAAGUUAGGGGAUCGAAGACGAUCAGAUACCGUCGUAGUCUUAACCAUAAACUAUGCCGACUAGGGAUCGGAUGAUGUUAAUUUUUUAAUGACUCAUUCGGCGCCUUACGGGAAAC